GACACCCUCAUUGCCGGCUCCCUCCUCAUCUCCGCCUUCCUCCGAGGCGGCGACCGCUCCCUCCUAUCCUCGUUCUUACCAGCGGUGACCGGACCCAACUCCGAUGGCCUCACAUCCACCGUCCUCCACUACGCCACAUCAUCGAUCACCCCCAGCAGUCCCGUUCAGAGAUCAACCUAUCAGCAUCCACCGCCAAAAUAAAAAAGGUGCCUUUUUUGCCCCUAAAAACUUCUCUUUGGUUCUGUCCUUAAAGUGGGAGAAGAGACGAAGUAGGAUAAUAGAAUGCUGUCCUCGAGUACAUCGAGUUGAAGGAGAAGCUAUUGAAGAGCUGGAGGAAUUCUCCAGAAGCCGUGGUCUCAAAACAUCAAGCUUUUCUUGAGGAGCGUGAUAUACAUGGUCGCAUAUAUGUGAAUGAGCAGGGGAUUAAUGCUCAGGUAUUUGUCCUAACCUUUCUCACUGGGGCUGUAGUUUUACGCUUUGUAUGGAUACUUUGAUUUUAUAUGACAUAUAAUAUUUCUUGAAUUAUGAUUAAUUAGUAGACUUGGCUUAAAAUUACUUUGAAGUGGCUUCAGAUAUCACCGAAUAAAAAAAAUUACUUUGAAGCAGCUUCAGAUAUUACUGAAGGAAAUAGGAGAUGUGCAUGGAGGGAACAAGGUGUGUGAAAACAAGAAGAGUUGCUCACUUUGUGGAACAACUGCUUUCGUCACUGGAGGAAACAAAGGAAUUGGGAUCAAGGAGGAAGAAACAUGAUGCUUCAACAAUUUGGAGGAAUAAAUGCAAUUGGAUUCUAUAAAUUAUGCAAAGUUCAUCAAGUUAUGUAAACAAUUGUAUUCUUUAUAAUCUAUGUAAAAAAUUUAUGUAUCUUUCUAGUAUUUUGGUGAA